CCAUAAGAUCAUCAUCAACCCUGUAGUUUAAUAAAUCAUCAACCGAUGCUAAAAUGGAGGAAUCAAAAUUUAGAUAUUUUCAAAAUCUAGUUUACUAUGAUUACCUGAAAGAACCACGGUCCAUUUUGUCCCACACCAUAGAAUGAUCAAGGUUUGUAUUCACCUUAUCCCAAUGUAGUGGCUUUAGUUUCACCUCAGGUGAAGUGUCUCCUUGCUUACUUGUGGUACCUGCUGCUCUUUCAAUUGGAUUAGGUGGCGGUUUUGAUGAUGACUUCAAACCACUUGCCUUUGGUGGAGGAGGUGGUGGUGCUGAUGCUGGUAUCGGAGCUUCAUUCUUUUUAUCAGGUACUUUUGGAGGGGCCAAUGGUGUUGCAGAAUUUGUAAUGUUUGGAAUUGAUGAG
rnacentral:sRNA from 1 species